rnacentral:rRNA from 1 species
UAGGGAAUCUUCGGCAAUGGACGAAAGUCUGACCGAGCAACGCCGCGUGAGUGAAGAAGGUUUUCGGAUCGUAAAACUCUGUUGUUAGAGAAGAACAAGGACGUUAGUAACUGAACGUCCCCUGACGGUAUCUAACCAGAAAGCCACGGCUAACUACGUGCCAGCAGCCGCGGUAAUACGUAGGUGGCAAGCGUUGUCCGGAUUUAUUGGGCGUAAAGCGAGCGCAGGCGGUUUCUUAAGUCUGAUGUGAAAGCCCCCGGCUCAACCGGGGAGGGUCAUUGGAAACUGGGAGACUUGAGUGCAGAAGAGGAGAGUGGAAUUCCAUGUGUAGCGGUGAAAUGCGUAGAUAUAGGGAGGAACACCAGUGGCGAAGGCGGCUCUCGGGUCUGUAACUGACGCUGAGGCUCGAAAGCGUGGGGAGCAAACAGG